rnacentral:rRNA from 1 species
AGUUUGAUCCUGGCUCAGGACGAACGCUGGCGGCGUGCCUAACACAUGCAAGUCGAGCGGAGACUUAACGAAUGAAGUUUUCGGAUGGAUUUUGUUAAGUUUUAGCGGCGGACGGGUGAGUAACGCGUGAGCAACCUGCCCUCUACUGGGGAACAACACAUCGAAAGGUGUGCUAAUACCGCAUAAGACCACAGUGCUGACAUGGUACAGGGGUCAAAGGAUUUAUUCGGUAGAGGAUGGGCUCGCGUCUGAUUAGCUAGUUGGUGAGGUAACGGCCCACCAAGGCGACGAUCAGUAGCCGACCUGAGAGGGUGAUCGGCCACAUUGGAACUGAGAAACGGUCCAAACUCCUACGGGAGGCAGCAGUGGGGAAUAUUGGGCAAUGGGCGAAAGCCUGACCCAGCAACGCCGCGUGAAGGAAGAAGGUUUUCGGAUCGUAAACUUCUAUCCUUGGUGAAGAUAAUGACGGUAGCCAAGAAGGAAGCCCCGGCUAACUACGUGCCAGCAGCCGCGGUAAUACGUAGGUGGCAAGCGUUGUCCGGAUUUACUGGGUGUAAAGGGAGCGCAGGCGGGAAAGCAAGUCAGCUGUGAAAACUAUGGGCUUAACCCAUAGACUGCAGUUGAAACUGUUUUUCUUGAGUGGAGUAGAGGUAAGCGGAAUUCCGAGUGUAGCGGUGAAAUGCGUAGAGAUUCGGAGGAACACCAGUGGCGAAGGCGGCUUACUGGGCUCUAACUGACGCUGAGGCUCGAAAGUGUGGGGAGCAAACAGGAUUAGAUACCCUGGUAGUCCACACUGUAAACGAUGAUUACUAGGUGUGGGAGGUCUGACCCCUUCCGUGCCGCAGUUAACGCAAUAAGUAAUCCACCUGGGGAGUACGACCGCAAGGUUGAAACUCAAAGGAAUUGACGGGGGCCCGCACAAGCAGUGGAUUAUGUGGUUUAAUUCGAAGCAACGCGAAGAACCUUACCAGGUCUUGACAUCCAACUAACGAACUAGAGAUAGAUUAGGUGCCCUUCGGGGAAAGUUGAGACAGGUGGUGCAUGGUUGUCGUCAGCUCGUGUCGUGAGAUGUUGGGUUAAGUCCCGCAACGAGCGCAACCCCUGCCAUUAGUUGCUACGCAAGAGCACUCUAAUGGGACCGCUACCGACAAGGUGGAGGAAGGUGGGGACGACGUCAAAUCAUCAUGCCCCUUAUGACCUGGGCUACACACGUAAUACAAUGGCCGUUAACAGAAGGAAGCGAAGGCGCGAGCCGGGGCAAACCCCCAAAAACGGUCUCAGUUCGGAUUGCAGGCUGCAACUCGCCUGCAUGAAGUCGGAAUUGCUAGUAAUCGCGGAUCAGCAUGCCGCGGUGAAUACGUUCCCGGGCCUUGCACUCACCGCCCGUCA